ACGAGCUCAUAGGGUAACCUGUGAUCUAGUGGCGGAAGGGUUAGUAAUACAUGAAUAACUUGCCUUUAACCUGGGGAUAACGGCUGGAAACGGCCGCUAAUACCGAAUGAGGUGGCAGAAGAUAACUUUUGCAUAUCAAAGUAGGGGACCUGUAAAACGGCCUCGCGGUUAAAGAGAGGUUCAUGCGAUAUCAGCUAGUUGGUGUGGUAAAGGCGCACCAAGG
rnacentral:rRNA from 1 species